rnacentral:tRNA from 24 species
NNGGACGGUCUCGAAAACCGGAGUAGGGGCAACUCUACCGGGGGUUCAAAUCCCCCUCUCUCCGCCA